CCUACGGGGGGCAGCAGUGGGGAAUAUUGGACAAUGGGCGAAAGCCUGAUCCAGCAAUGCCGCGUGAGUGAUGAAGGCCUUAGGGUUGUAAAGCUCUUUUACCCGGGAUGAUAAUGACAGUACCGGGAGAAUAAGCUCCGGCUAACUCCGUGCCAGCAGCCGCGGUAAUACGGAGGGAGCUAGCGUUAUUCGGAAUUACUGGGCGUAAAGCGCACGUAGGCGGCUUUGUAAGUAAGAGGUGAAAGCCCAGAGCUCAACUCUGGAAUUGCCUUUUAGACUGCAUCGCUUGAAUCAUGGAGAGGUCAGUGGAAUUCCGAGUGUAGAGGUGAAAUUCGUAGAUAUUCGGAAGAACACCAGUGGCGAAGGCGGCUGACUGGACAUGUAUUGACGCUGAGGUGCGAAAGCGUGGGGAGCAAACAGGAUUAGAUACCC
rnacentral:rRNA from 1 species